UUUCCAUGGAGCAGUGUAGCGCAUCUUAGUGUCAUUAGUGAUUGAUCUAGUAACUGUGGAAUCUAAAAAACUACAAUAUUUUUAUAUAUAAUGAGUAGUUGUAAGUAAUAAUACAUAUUAAAUCAAUAGCAAAAAGUUGUAUAUGACUUACACAUUUCCUUUAAAUCUAAUCAAUUGUCGAUCAGACGGGUUUGAUGGGAUAGGAUGUCCCAAGUUCGGACCUCUAGUUCGAACUGAUGAUGAUGAAGAUGCUUUUGCUUGCCCCUGUAAUGCUUGUGGAGUGUGAUCCAGUGUUUCUUCUUGCACCUGUACUGCCUCAUCUGUUUCAUUUAUAGAGAGCUGC
rnacentral:lncRNA from 1 species